UAUGGCAGAUUAGUGCACUGGAUUUAAACCCCAUUUAUAAAAUUUUUUAAUUUUUAUUAAAA
rnacentral:tRNA from 1 species